CCUACGGGAGUCAGCAGUGAGGAAUAUUGGUCAAUGGGCGCGAGACUGAACCAGCCAAGUAGCGUGUAGGAUGACUGCCCUACGGGUUGUAAACUUCUUUUAUAAAGGAAUAAAGUGAGGCACGUGUGCCUUUUUGUAUGUACUUUAUGAAUAAGGAUCGGCUAACUCCGUGCCAGCAGCCGCGGUAAUACGGAGGAUCCGAGCGUUAUCCGGAUUUAUUGGGUUUAAAGGGAGCGUAGAUGGAUUGUUAAGUCAGUUGUGAAAGUUUGCGGCUUAACUGUCAAAUUGCAAUUGAUACUGGCAGUCUAGAGUACAGUUGAGGUAGGCGGAAUGCGUGGUGUAGCGGUGAAAUGCUUAGAUAUCACACAGAACACCGAUUGCGAAGGCAGCUUACUAAGCUGCCACUGACAUUGAUGCUCGAAAGUGUGGGUAUCAAACAGGAUUAGAUACCCCGGUAGUC
rnacentral:rRNA from 1 species